GAGUUUGAUCCUGGCUCAGGACGAACGCUGGCGGCGUGCUUAACACAUGCAAGUCGAACGGUGAUGUCAGAGCUUGCUCUGGCGGAUCAGUGGCGAACGGGUGAGUAACACGUGAGUAACCUGCCCCCGACUCUGGGAUAACUGCUAGAAAUGGUAGCUAAUACCGGAUAUGACGAUUGGCCGCAUGGUCUGGUCGUGGAAAGAAUUUCGGUUGGGGAUGGACUCGCGGCCUAUCAGGUUGUUGGUGAGGUAAUGGCUCACCAAGCCUACGACGGGUAGCCGGCCUGAGAGGGUGACCGGCCACACUGGGACUGAGACACGGCCCAGACUCCUACGGGAGGCAGCAGUGGGGAAUAUUGCACAAUGGGCGAAAGCCUGAUGCAGCAACGCCGCGUGAGGGAUGACGGCCUUCGGGUUGUAAACCUCUUUUAGUAGGGAAGAAGCGAAAG
rnacentral:rRNA from 1 species